rnacentral:piRNA from 1 species
UGAAAUCAAGGGCCCAGCUCUGAAGCAUGA